AACGCGAAGAACCUUACCUACUCUUGACAUCCAGAGGAUUCGCUAGAGAUAGCUUAGUGCCUUCGGGAACUCUGAGACAGGUGCUGCAUGGCUGUCGUCAGCUCGUGUUGUGAAAUGUUGGGUUAAGUCCCGCAACGAGCGCAACCCUUAUCCUUUGUUGCCAGCGAGUAAUGUCGGGAACUCAAAGGAGACUGCCGGUGACAAACCGGAGGAAGGUGGGGAUGACGUCAAGUCAUCAUGGCCCUUACGAGUAGGGCUACACACGUGCUACAAUGGCAUAUACAAAGAGAAGCGAACUCGCGAGAGCAAGCGGACCUCACAAAGUAUGUCGUAGUCCGGAUCGGAGUCUGCAACUCGACUCCGUGAAGUCGGAAUCGCUAGUAAUCGUAGAUCAGAAUGCUAUGGUGAAUACGUUCCCGGGUCUUGUACACACCG
rnacentral:rRNA from 1 species